rnacentral:rRNA from 1 species
CACGUAGGGUGCGAGCGUUGUCCGGAAUUAUUGGGCGUAAAGAGCUCGUAGGCGGUGUGUCGCGUCGGCCGUGAAAACCUGCAGCUUAACUGUGGGCUUGCGGUCGAUACGGGCAUCACUGGAGUUCGGCAGGGGAGACUGGAAUUCCUGGUGUAGCGGUGAAAUGCGCAGAUAUCAGGAGGAACACCGGUGGCGAAGGCGGGGUCUCUGGGC